CUUACAACUGUCAAUGCAUUGCAGUCAGUGCAGAAGGCUGUAUAACAGUCACUAAACAUAGUAAACAUGCUGCCAGAACGGAGACUAUGAAGAAGAAAGUUACACAGCGGCGACAAGAUAACUAAUUUUAGAUGCUAUAUCUACAUGUAUGUGUGUGAUAGCUCAGCGGUAAGGUGUUGGGCUCAUAACACCAAGAGCAAUCGAUCAAUACUCUUUGAAACACAAAAUUUAUUUAGUUUUUUCCUUUUUAUGCGUAUAUUUUGUUAAAUUUUUAAGUCGCUUAGUAUGUCUGUACCUUCGAAAAUUUGUAGGAGGUUUCGAAAAUU
rnacentral:lncRNA from 1 species